CAGCAGCCGCGGUAAUACGUAGGGUGCAAGCGUUAAUCGGAAUUACUGGGCGUAAAGCGUGCGCAGGCGGUUAUAUAAGACAGAUGUGAAAUCCCCGGGCUCAACCUGGGAACUGCAUUUGUGACUGUAUAGCUAGAGUACGGCAGAGGGGGAUGGAAUUCCGCGUGUAGCAGUGAAUUGCGUAGAUAUGCGGAGGAACACCGAUGGCGAAGGCAAUCCCCUGGGCCUGUACUGACGCUCAUGCACGAAAGCGUGGGGAGCAAACAGGAUUAGAUACCCCUGUAGUCCCUGUCUCUUAUAC
rnacentral:rRNA from 1 species